rnacentral:SRP_RNA from 1 species
CGGCGGGCUAAGCCCCGGGGGGCUGCCCCUCCCCCUAAUCCGCAAACGGGGCAUACGGCGGGGGGCGUUAACCCCUAGGGCUGUGUGCAUGCGGCGCCGGUAGCGGCGCCCUCUGCGGCGAUGACCCCCAGUCCCCGCGGACGGCCGCUGGUGGUAGGCCUCUCGGAGGAGAGGCCGAACCACCGACCGCCGAACCGGGUUAGGCCCGGAAGGGAGCAGCCCUAAGGCGGGGCGGCCGUGUUGCGGGGGGCGCUGGGAGUAGCCGCAUGGCGUGCGCGCCGGCGCGCGCGUGCAUGCUCCCUAGGGGGAGGCCGCCG